rnacentral:rRNA from 2 species
UAAACGACUCUCGGCAACGGAUAUCUCGGCUCACGCAUCGAUGAAGAACGUAGCAAAAUGCGAUACUUGGUGUGAAUUGCAGAAUCCCGUGAACCAUCGAGUUUUUGAACGCAAGUUGCGCCCGAAGCCAUCCGGUCGAGGGCACGCCUGCCUGGGCGUCACGC